GACUCCUUUCGACUCCACCUACCCUGCAGCAGAUGUGCGCAGCAGAUGACCCAGUUUGGUGCACCCCGCCGCCCUCAGGCGGGACCGCAGAGUGGCAGAUGACAAAGCAGGAGAACAAACAAAGUCAUUGAAGAAGAGGGGUUCCUCAAAC